rnacentral:tRNA from 1 species
GGAGAGGUGGCAGAGUGGUCGAAUGCGCCUGACUCGAAAUCGAGGUAUGGUGCGAGCCAUCGGGGGUUCGAAUCCCCCCCUCUCCG